CGGACUCUCUGUGUCAGACUGCCUGAGCUCGCAGGUCGUCAGCAGAGUCUGAACUUAAAUGUAAACAAACCCGGCUCCUCUCCGACCCUCUGUAGGUCUCCCCCAGUCUUCAUCGUCAGCUCCAUCUCCCAGUGAGCUCGGGUCCAUUGCUAUAGCAACGGGUUGCCAUGGGCAACGAGACACAGCCAGCACCAGUCAGCAUCCUCCUCCUCCUCGCAGUUGUUGUGAGAGGCAGGCAGGCAGAGGGGAGAGAAGGCGCGGCGCGUGCAGAGCAGCAGAGACGAGAGGAGAAGAAAGACGUUUUCCUCUCCCUGCCACUGGAAUAAAACCCAAAAAGCAAAAUAAAGACAUCAGCAUCCAGUCAGACGCCUGCAUUCUGCUGUCUGCGUCUCGGAGUGCAACAAGAGGAUGGCAACAACUUGUUCAUGCAGGAAAGUGUCUGUUCAGUGCAGGCGGUGACCCCGACGCCAAACCUGCUGCCGCCAAGCAAGAGUGCGCCGACAUCACCUGCUGCCGCUGCAGGGCAUUUCAGACGCUGACCUCGUGACUCAAAGAUGAUCAUCUCCUCUGGACCGAGAAGGAGAAUCAGCUUCUGAAGCCACCAAACAUUUCUCACCUCAGCAUGGCAGACGACCUCUACAGCAGCACCUUCUCAGCUUCGGAAUCAGACUUCUCCUCAUCGUCUUCAUCCUCAGCUUCAGCCGCCUUCCUCACACUCGAGCAAAGGGCGGCCUUCAUUUUCGUCCUCAUCCUCUUCAUCUUCUUGGGCCUCCUGAUCGUCCGUUGUUUCCGUAUCCUCCUGGACCCGUAUCGGAGCAUGCCCUCCUCCACCUGGACCGACUACAUGGAGAAGGACACCUUUGAUUAUCGGAUUUCCUGACAGGCAGCCUGAGAGGCAGCAACCCUGACAAACGACAGUUAAACUGAGGCGACGAUCACGCUAAGCAGGUGAAGCACAAACACAGGUGCACAUUUUCCCACAAGGCGGAGAGAAACCAGACGACAGGCCACAGGGUUAAAUAUGCCUCUGUGACACUUUGUUGGUGUAUAAAGUUUAUUUAUUCUACAGAAAGUUGGUGAAAAGUUCGAGCAGAAAAGGCGAGCUCCAAGUUUAAUAAAAACACGACUUUCCAAAUCACUGAAUAACUUUGAUGAUGUGAGCAGCUGUGGUUUGCUUCCACAGCCACUUUAGUCUGAUGUUAGGCCUCUUACCUGGUACUGCUGAGGCGUUGUUGUUAUAUAUGAAGUGUGGCAGGUGGGAAAAGGAAACGUGCGCUCUGUGUUUCUAUAGCUUCCGGUCUGAUUGUCGCCUCAGUCUGCCCGGCAGGCAGCACAUCUGGGUAAAAAUCGGCAUUUGUCUCAAAUCAAUCAGUGUAAUUGGAAAUGUGUGAAAGUAUUGAAGACAUGCAAAGUCCUCAGAUAUGAACAAACAGCUCAUGCAGAUCAAUUUGCACGUUUGGAGUUCUGAUUGGUUUGAGAUGUGCAGGUGCCAUUUUUGCUCAGAAGCCACCAACGUUUAGAAAUCCCUGCGCUCCGAGUGUUACAGGUGACCGAUUUCUACAAGCAGCGAGCUGCCUGCCGGGCAGCGUGUCAGGGCUGCCGUCUCUCAUGGAGAAGACAGUCUUUUUGGUUUUUCUUUUACUUUUUGUUCUCUUUCUGAACUUUUAUUGACUCAGACUCAAAGAACUUACUCUGACAGCUGCUGAAGCUCACUGAGGACACGCAGCCUUAUUUGGAGGAGGAGGCUCUGCUGAUGAGUCUGCAGAGCCGAGAUGUUUCCAACAUCUCUCCAUCGUCCUCCUGCCGGGCUGUUGCUUAGUAACCAGUGAUGUCUGCAGCCAAAACACAGAAAA